rnacentral:lncRNA from 1 species
ACGAAGCCCGGAGCUUAACAUCGCCGGCGUUGAAGGCGAUCGUAGCAGCUCCGCUGCUUUUGUCAUUCUCGUACUUGCCCUUCAAAGAUGCCUUCAUCAUUUCACGACAAACAAAGGAGUUUCGUGACAAACGAAGGAGAUAGGCGGAGCAAGGAAAACGAGGAUAUGUCGAGGGUUUUAUUUGGUUUUAUAUUUGUUAUCGGUGCUUGCGAUUUUUUGGCGGCC